rnacentral:rRNA from 1 species
GAUGAACGCUGGCGGCGUGCCUAAUACAUGCAAGUCGAGCGAACGGACGAGAAGCUUGCUUCUCUGAUGUUAGCGGCGGACGGGUGAGUAACACGUGGAUAACCUACCUAUAAGACUGGGAUAACUUCGGGAAACCGUAGCUAAUACCGGAUAAUAUUUUGAACCGCAUGGUUCAAAAGUGAAAGACGGUCUUGCUGUCACUUAUAGAUGGAUCCGCGCUGCAUUAGCUAGUUGGUAAGGUAACGGCUUACCAAGGCAACGAUGCAUAGCCGACCUGAGAGGGUGAUCGGGUAGACUGGAACUGAGACAGACUCGCCAGACUGAAGGGAGGCAGCAGUCGAGAAUCUUACGGAAUGCAGCAGAGCGUGACGGACCACCGUGGGGUGAAUGCUGAAGGACCUCGGCUGGGAGAACGCUGUUAGCCGGGAGGAACAAAAGUGUAUGUAUCUGUGAGGAAUUUGACGGUACCUUAUGAAUAAGCAUCGGCUAACUACGUG